UGAUUGCAGGACCAGUUAUUUCGGGAAUUCACAGGUGGGAUAUCUGGUAGUAUCUUAUAGGGCUAUCUUCCUACAGACGCUUGAUUGAGGUUUGGGAAAUCUUGAUCAUACGUUCGUUCCGAGCAGUACUAGCUCACACUUGUUUGCUGUGGCCUUGUCGGAAUUUUGUCGUCUGAUGCUUUGAGAAUGCACUCUUGCUAUGUUGUUCGAGUGCAAUGCUAAGUUCUGUUCAGAUAUUCUGUCUUUUGAUUCAGCUUAUGUUCAAAUAUUCUGUGGACUAAUUUGCUGUCCAUCUUCAGGAUGGCUCCACCAACUCGUCAGAC
rnacentral:lncRNA from 1 species